CCAUCUCCGUUGUUGUUACUUCGUCUAUGCUCAGUCUCGACUAUUGCUCCAGCUGCUCUUUGCUUCGUUUCUGCUCCAUCUCUGCUCGCUUGUACUAGUCUUCAAUUUUUCAAUUUGAGUAAAUUGUGAGUGUGGUUCUUUUUGUUUAUUUUAAACCCAAAUCAUAUUCGUUCAAUUUUUUAGACAAAUAGAAUGUUUGUCUCUUGAGCUCUGCAUUUGUAUCUUAUUUAAGGAUUGUUAGAAAACGAACGAUUUGAUGUUGGCUGGAUUUGUGAGAAACGAAACACAUAUCUAUUUAGAUGCCGAAAUAUGAGAAUAAAAGAAAUUAUGAUACCUAUCCAAUGAGUUAAAUUUUGUGCUUGGUGGCUCCAUGAAAGUAGUUCAAAUUGAAAUUUGAUUGGAAAGCCUUUUAUGAGAAUUGUGCGAUAGAGGAAAGAACUUUUUCCUGGAGUUUUUAUUAUUUUUUUGACUCAAAAGUUAUUUCCUGUAUGAGCUCUCUUACUUAUAGUCGCAUUGACUACAAUCGUAUGAAUUUGAAUGAGAAGUGUUUGGUUAUAUGAAAUAAUAAUAAUAAUAAUAAUAAUAAUAAUAAAAGCAAAAUAAUCUGCUCAAUUAUUAUAAUAAAUGGUGUGCAAAAUUCUGUUUGUUCUUGUGCAUCUGUGCAUACAUGUGUCGAAUUUGAAUUAGCAAUUCAAGAUGAUAGCUUGUUAACAAAAUUAUGUUUGUUUAGCUGGGUGAAUAACCCUCACUAGAUUACUACUUUACUUGCUUAGAUAGGUCACACAUUAGAACUUCCUUAUUGAAAAUAUACUAUUGGUCACCAAAUUGAAAAGUAGCAUCAAUUAUCAAUGUACACAUUAUUAGCUUACCAGUUUCAUUGUUGGGUUUGCUGGUUAUUAAGUUUAGGGGAGCAAUCUCAGUUAAUUUUGAUGAUUUAUAUAUGUAUUUAAUUUCAUUUUUAAUAACUCACAUGCAGGAAAUAUGGAUUCUAGGCUUAAUUUGGACUUAUGGUUUUCGCAAUUUCAUUUGGGAUCAGUCAGCUUCAAGGACAACACAAAUGUAGUUCAUCCUUUUUUUUUCUUGGUCUUAUCCACGAGGUAUCCUGGGGAGGGCUCCAACUGUGGGAGACACCUUUAAGCUCGUACCACAACCCAGACUAGAAGUCCCCGCUCGAACUGGGAGGCACAGGUUCUCCCAACAAAGGCGACUUCCCUGCGACUCGAACUGGGGAGCAAACCUAGUCAAGCCACUUAAGGGGACUCCAUUGCCAGUGGAGCCAACACUUUGUUGGUAAUGUAGUUCAUCAUUUCUUUGGCAUGGCACUUACUUUUCUUCUAUCCAUCUUUUUUGUUCUCUAUUUAUGUAGUAGCAGUUUUAUGCUUUGUGUUGGUAAGGAAACUACAUGCUGAAAUUUUGUCAAACUCUGUUGACACACUGUAAUCAUUUUUGCUGCACGGCGAAAGCGUAGGCUCGUAGUUGACAUUGUUGUCAUUAGAGCUUGUUUUCAUAAAAUAAGUGUAAUUUGCAAGUACCUUGUAUACUGUUGAAUUUGAUUUAUCUCCAGCAAGUAUUAAUGCAUGAUGUCAAUCAUGUAUUUUUUUUAUAAUUAUUUUGUUUAAUUUAUAUGUGUUACAAUAUAUAGCUUAAUUAUAAUGUAAAAACAAUGACGAUAUAAUUUUUUUUUUCAUUAAUGCUAAUACUAAAACUGUCAUCGUGUAAUUUAUUAUUAUUAUUUUUGUUUAAAUUAUUAAUUAUAUGUUUGUGCAUGUAUUAAUUAAUUAAACAAUUAUUUUUUAACUAUAACUUAAAUGUUUAGUAAAAACUGUUUCUGAAAAUAGUACUAUCGAACACAUAUUCUCUGUUUUUAUCUUUUUUAAUUGUGUAUACCGAACACAUAUUACUGUUUUUAGUUUUAAAAUUAAGGAUACAUAAAAUGAUAACAAAUGCAUAUUUAAAUUCAAAAUACAGCAACUACAAAACACCAUUUUUAUUCUCAUUUUUGUUUUCAAAAAAUACUAAUUCAGAAACAAUAUCGAACAUAUAAGUAGUUUGGACCAUGAUCUUUGCCUUUGCUUCCCCCAUGAGGGGUUUGCUUCCCCCAUGAGGGCUGGUUUGUUCAUUGUUGCUAUUGUGUGGUUGAGAUAGAGAGAUGAUCUCAUUUGGAAAGACUAAAAAUAAUUUUAUAUAGUUUGUAAAAUUUUUAAAAAGUAAUUUUAUCUUUAAAUUAUCUUAAGGAGAAUGAAUUUUUUUUAAUAAUGAAUAUCAUUAAAAUUAGGAUCACAACUUCUCAUAAUAAAUUACAUAAGUGAGGAGGAAAAUCUCUCUUAGAAUUUAUAUUUAUGAUUUUGAGUCCUUAAUAAAUUUUUAAUACUUGACCCUAUCUUAGGUGUUGAAAGACCGUGAGGAAAAAAAUGUUGUUGAAGGAUAAAUAAAACUUUUUUCAUAUGCAAAUUAUUUAUAUGUGUAUUUUGUGACUAUUUUAACACCAAUUAAAGUUAUCAAUGAGCCAAUUGAUAAAAACAAAUUUUAAGAGGAGUAAAAGAGUUACUAUUCAUUAUCGUAAGUGUAUAAUCUGAAGUAAAUUGAUACUUUCAAUUAAUAUAUAUACAUAUAUACACACACACACAUGUAUAUAUAUAGAGUGGGAGAGAGAGAGUAAAUCUUCUUAUGAAUUAUACAAACUCAUAAUUAUCCUUAUUCAAUUGUUUUUGUUUAUUACUGGUUAAUCUUGUGACACGGCUAAUAAUGAUUAUUUACCAAAGUUCACAAUAUUACCAAACUAAGCCUAAGACAAAUGUUUGCAACUAUGGAAGUCUACUAACUUUACAGAAGACACACAAGCUAAUUAGUGUUUGAUAAAAACCAAAAUUUCAAAUUUUACUAUGUUUGCAAUAAAAUAAUACAUGCAUAAAUCAACUUAAGCAAGAGUUUUGUUUAAAUUAAAGUUCUCCUGAGAAGCAAGAUUAUACUUUUAAAGCAAAAUCUGGUUAUAAGAUAUGGUAAUAAGUGCUAAUAUGCUAGUCUUUUAAUUAUAGACACCCAUGUAUAAGUAGACAUCCAGGUGGGAUUUGGAACCAGAGAAGAGCAGUCUGCAGGGUGAAAAUGGCGAAAUUCUCAGUAUCCCACUUUUUCAUCACCAUUUUGGUUCUUGUUUCAGGUGCAUAUUAGUUAUUAAUUCAAAUUUAAUUUGUUUACAAUUGUCCCUUUUUGUUUUCUAUUUUCCCUGCAAUAUUGCCAUUGAAAAUGACAUAGGUAACCCAAGUAAGGAAAUUCAAUAAGAGCCCAGUUGACAGCAAUUUGCAUGAAAUUAAUUAGUUUUUGUAACACCAAAUAAUUUAUUAAUCUCUUAUUCUGUUUCUCUAACAACUAAUGUUCUUGUAUGGCUUGGACAGUUGGGACAAUGAUGCCUGCAAUGGCCAAACAGCAACAAUGCACAGAGAUGCUGCCAUGGGUGAAAUUCUAUUGCUUGGAAAAGGGAGCAGUAUCUGAAACUUGCUGGGGAAAUUGCACUCAAAGACACCCUGAUCUGAUUCUUGCAUAUUGUGGGGGCACCGGGGCCUUGCCCAUCAGAUUUUGUGCUUGCGUCUACCCUUGUUAAUUAUCUUGUAAAACCUUCGUGGAUAUAUAAAAUAAACCAACAUUCUAUUGGCUAUAUUUGAUGUUAUUGUCAUAUAGAGAAAAGAAGAAAAUGCUUAUACUCUUGACAAAUCUGCUACGAAAUAGAAAGGGCAGCAGUGGUGAAAUGAGACUAAAAUUAAACCUACAGAUUAUGAAUCUUGCAAGAGACUGACGGAGUCAAACAUUUUAUUAAAAUCUUGCAAACUAACAUAUUACGAAUAUGAAGCAUUAUGAGCUUUGAUUGAACGACAGCAGUAAGUGGACCAGCUUAGUUCAGUUCAUUUUCUGUGCAAAGCCUAAGGAAGAAGCAGUCUGCGCUUCUCUUAAUCUUAGUUGAACAACCUGUGAAUUUUUGGUGUGACAGCUAACGUUAUCAGCUGUAUUUUCAUUUUAUCUAUGCUUAAAUAUCAUCCACUUAAAUCUCAAUCAGACGGAAUAACAAUCACUUAUUGUGAUUUUGUGAACGUAAUGUGCAUAUCCCAAUGUUAUAAACUUCCAAUUGAAUAUGUGGAUGUAGUUGGAGGGUUUUUUCGACAUGGGAGCUGGGCAGCAGGAGGCCAAAAAGACUUGAGAAGUCGGUUUCCAUUAUCCCACAUCUAGUAGAGAAAGAAAGCAAUAGUGGUGAGCUGCUUAUAAAAGAGAUGAGUUAUACCUGCUUUAGUGCAAGCUGAGAAUAUGUGCGUUUGUAAUUACAAUAUGGGGCCUAUGGCCCACACAAACAAACGCAAAAUAUAGGGCGGAGAUUAGGGGCAUCCCGAAAACGUCCUAUAGGGGGAAGACCACCAACGAUAGCUAGCUAUCGGGAUCUUCGCGCGUCGCCCAUGCGUUGCACUAUUGCAAGGGCCUGGCGCACCCCACCAAUGCUCUAGUUAAAGGUUUGAUUUUGUGGAGUAUGUGUUGUGAAAUACUGCCGAAGCAAAAUCCAUUAUAUGUGCCACAUUAGACAAAUUCAGUAACAAGUGGUUUCAACUUUUAAUAAUAUCUCUUGAAAUUACUUAUUCCAACUAAGAAGAGUAAGAUGGACGGUGGGGGAAUGCAAGAUCGUCUGGAGGCUGAUGGUGAUGGCGGUGGUGUGAGCGCUGGGCUUGUGGGAGCAUCUGAUUCCACUGGUGGAGAUGCAGGUGCCAAAUCCUCAGUUGCAUCGGUUUCCGUUGCUGGAGCAACUGCUUUGGAAGCUAAGGAACAUAAAUAAGAUCCAGUUAUUUUAGUGAUAAUAGAACACUGCUUUUGCUUAUAAAACGAAAUGGGCUUUCAUAUCUUACCUCCUGGACUAAGAGGAGAAUCAGCUAUAGGUGCAGGAGCUGGCCCGAACAAAACAGCAGGGCCUGCCAAAACAUAUUUGUUCCAAAGGAUGGCAAGCAUCCUGUUUAAUAAUUAAGCUUUCAUAAUAAGGUUUAUGACAUUUUUUUUUUUUUGUC
rnacentral:lncRNA from 1 species